CGUCGGGUUCUCUUUUUCUUUUUCCGCAGCGGCCGCAGUAGAAGUCGCCUACUGAGCGCCGCUGCAGGAAGGCAUGUCAUCAUCGUUAUCCCUGGCAUGCUCCUCGAACAGCGCUCGCUCCUCUGGUGAAAGGGCGUCCAGGAAGCUGAACUUACGUUUAGUACCUGAUUUGCCCUUACCUGCACCGCUGCUCUUGUUGUUUCCGUUGUCCAAAGACGUUUGCUGUUGUUGUUGCCUGGUUCCAAUAGUUGUAGUUGUGGUUUUUGUUUUUGUUGUUUUACUCAUCUUUUUCUUACGACCCUUGGCUCGACAAGUAUAGGGGAACAGAGAGAAGUAUAGGGGAAGAGAGAGAACUUUUCUAUAGGGGAACAGAGAGUCCUACGCGCCAGAGCCCUUGACGCGGUAAGGCCACCGUUACUUCCCAAUGCGGCCCGGUGUUGGGAAGGCUCCGUUAUACUACAGCCGAAUUUUCCUCCUAGCUGCAAAUCAUUCAAUGGGCACGGGAGUCGCAUAACACCCUGGAUUAGGAGGUGGCAGCUCUUGGUUGUCGCACGCAUACGGCUUCUGACAACUAGUGUGAGGAUGCAAGCACCGCUCACACCAGUUGGGAGAUGCCGAGAAUGCCUUGCGACUUAAGCCCCUGCACCACGGCAAGGUGCCUGCCAUUCGCAGAGGAUGUCAUUAUACACGGAACAGGAAAAACAUCGUAUUCCACCAAGUUUGUAACACCCAGAAGGAAACGUCAAAGACGCUAUAAAGUAUAGUGAUCAGCGUGACGAGUUAUUCAUUUGACGAGAUACUUUAGCUCGAAUUAGCUAUCAGAAAAACUGAUCGAUCAACAUCAAGUUUUUGUAUGGAAUUUUUUUUUAUUUGUAAGGGGUAAUAUAGUUUCAGUGCAACCGAAGUUUACGUUUUUUCUUGUUUUUAUUUUCCAUUUAUAAAAUAAAUACGACAAACCUUAAUUAAAUCCAUAUACUUAUUUCAACGUAAAUUUUAUCUUUAUAUAUAUAAAUAUCAGUUGUUUUAAUAUUUCGAAGAAAUGGGCUAGAAAUAUCUGCUUUUUUUACUACUUGGCUAGCGUGGACUAUUUUCCAAACAUUCUUUUCAUAACUCUCUUACUAAAUAUUAUUACUUUUAUUCAAAGUCCAAAUAAUUUAACGAAAAUGGUUACACCGGCCUAGAUCGCAAAAAAAUGUGAAGUAGUCCAUUACGUAUAUGAGAUUUAGACAGGGCUUUUUUCGAAUGCAACGACUUCUGGGUAUACUCUUUCACUUAACCAUUUUAGCAUUAUUUACUGUUCCCGAAAAUAUCUAGUAAGGUUUGCAUAAAGCAAACUAACUGGUAUGUAAGUUCAUAUAUAUUAAUAUACGGAUUGAUGUGUUAAUAUCGCAGGUAUUGACCUAAUCCAAACACCGUCAAUCAUUAUAUAUUUUCUCUUUGUGAGGUUGUAACCACCCAUUAGGAACUUGCCUGGAGCAGCCCUACUCCAUUUAAAGUUGCUAUUGAGACAACCUUACAACGUCAAAAAUAGCAUUAACCUUUCCAGAGACAAGCUCCGGCUACUAGUGGCAUUUUACACAGGACUUUGCAGGCUUAAGAAGUACCUGUUUAACAUGAACAAGAGGCUAUAGUGCAAACUGUAGGUUUGGCGAUAUGUACUGCAGGUUCUACUCAGCAAUCUGCAGACUCAGGAUUAAGGUCCGUAGAUCUCUAUAUCCGAAUAUGGAUAAUUUCUUCUCAAAAGUGCUCCAUAAGAUCCUGGUUGAUUUAUUAGAGUUCUGGCAAUUUUUUAAUCCGUGUGAAAGUGGAGAUGGCACAAUAGCCAUAGGUCACAGUGCUAACUCCAAUUUAUAUUAAAUAUAUUCCACGUAAAGAAGGUUUUAUUGUCAGAAACUAUAAUUUUUUAGAAAUUCAUCUACAUGUAAAUGGAUUUUCAGUCAGACUCUAUUAUCUAGCAGCAUAAGCCAUAUACAAAAUAUGGAAUGUUUUAUGCUAUAAUAAAAGUUUUGAACUGGGAACGAAAUGGUCCUUAUAACUGUUUAUGUAGAGCAUAUAUAGCAGAAAUUCCGAGAAGCAAAAUCGAUAGACUUUUGAAUAUUUGACUAACUUUUUGUGCUGUGAAGCUUAAGAAGAGGAUAUCAGAUCUGUAUUCUUGACUCAAUGAAGUUAUUUCAGAACAGAAAAUCAAUACUCAGUGCAAAAUAUAUUUGAUUAGCAACUAUUUACUAGUAAAAAAAUCCUAUUUAUAUGAUAUUACAGUACGUAUUGACAAGCGCCAAAGUAAGUAAACAAUAAAGUCGUGAAACUACCGAAAGGCAUAGUCAACGUUUAAAAGUAGAUAAUAAAGGUAACGGUUAAGUUUUAACUGUUAAUAUUUUUACUAACAAAAGACUUUCUUUGAAUGUUUUGAGCAAGUACUAUUCUUAUUAAAUAUGCUCACUAGAAUUGUUGCAAAAUUGACUGAUUUAAAAACCUCUUGAUGAAAGUAAGUUGGUAUUUAGAACACCAAGAAUUCUACAAUGUCAACCAAUUAGGACUCCAGAUCAAUGAACACAACUCCAUUCGAUUUUUGAUAGCUUAAUGGAACAAAAUAUAAGAGCAUUUUUAAGCGAAGACCCUACAGAAAAAUGGGCUCGGCUUUGAAAAAAAUAUAGGUUAUUCCUCGCCUAACGAUUUAAUAACAUAUUUUCUCCACAUCUCCAAUUAAUUGCAAAAACUGUUACUUGAAGAAAACAUAGCCAAUGUAUCGAGUUUUAGCCCCGCAUUUGGGGAAUAAUCAAUUGAGUCGUUUACCAUGUGUAGUUGUGUGUGUAUAUCAGGUUGUCCAUUAUCACUCAUGAUGUUUUCCUUUGCGAACGCCCCUAAAUUCAUUAACACCUUUUAUAGAGCGAUUUUUUUCAUUUUAAGGCUGUACGUUGUAAUUGUUUAUAGCAAAAUAGCAAAAUAUCCCAUUUGAUAAACAUUGGAAAAGAAAUAUGAUUUAGGACGGUUUAAAUAUUAAAUAGGAAACAAAGAGCUUUUUUGGAUUCAUGUUUCUUGGUCAAAAACUGAAACUUUAGGUGGUGUUUGCAAAAAAAAAUCUAAUUUGGAAAUUACGGAUACCCUAUUUUAUAUAUAACGCGUGUUUUUUUAGACGUGUGGUUUUGAAUGAAGCAAUUCUUUUUUUCGGAGUUGGUCUUUUUGACAGCUGUUACUUGAUUUAUACUCAGCUUGAUGAGGAACGCUAAAUAGCCAUUAUUAAUGACUUUCUAGUGUCUGAAUUGGAGAAUGUUGAUUCGGACGCCCAUUGAUUCCAACAUUUUAUUGUAGAAAAAAGUUAGAGUGCGCAUUAUCUCGCGUCGUGGUUUAGUAGCGUGAACUCCAAGAUCAUGCGAUUUAACACCGCUGGACUUUGUUUUAGGGUUAUGUUAAGUCGCUUGUCUAUGCAGAUAGGCGCGAGACGAGACGAACUACUGCAAAAAUGAUCGAAAAUUGGACCUCUCAGACCCUUACCUUAAUAAAAACGCUAUGUUGUUGGCCAUAACAUAGAAUUAUAUGCGCUUAAUUUCUUCUUGUAAACCACUUGUCUAAAAAAAAACCUUUUUAUUCCGAAUCCUAAAAACCUAGAAUUUUUUUCCAAAUUUGACAAUACGACGAAAUAUUUUAAACUUUAGGAUACGUUACAAUUUGAUUUUAAAGGAUUUUCACUUAAAAUUUUUGUGAAUAGGUUGCAGCAAAACGGAAAUCUUCUAGCAUUUUAUUGAAAAAACAAUGCAGAUUAGGUCUAACACUCUAGCAUAAGGUAUUCCGGAAGAUAAAUACCGAAUAAUAAAUUCCUUACUGCUGCCUCAAAAAAAAAAAAAUAAUAAUAAUAAUGACGCACAAAUUAUUCUCAUAUGAAGACAAACAUAUAAAUACACACAAACACAUUUGCAUAUAUGUAUAUGUAAAGAUUAGCGCACAAACAAUGCUAACGAAGCGGCAGCCUCAUGGAAAUGAAGCUCUGGCGCGGCUCAUUAUAAAGUCAAAUUCGGCGGUUAGAAUGCGACAGCAUUGAAUUGUUUGCAAAAUUAAUUUCCACACAUAUGACAUAUGGGUAAGUAUGAGUAUGAGUAUGAGUGUUAGCAUGAGUAUGUGUAUGAGUAGGAGUAUGAGUAUGUAUAUACAUAAUUGAGGCAAACACAUUAGUCCUUUAGUCCUGUUAGAGAAUGGAGAAAUGGCUUGAGACAGCACAGGACUAUUGCAAAAAACCGAGCUGAAAACAAACCACAAAAACAAAAACUACAAAGAGAUUAAAAGCACGAAGCAGAAGUUUGUAGAAACCGCUCCGAGCGCUUAUGCCACCGAUAUUGAGGCAACAUAUUAAAAAUCCACAGCUGCGUUAAAAACUCUAGAAAAUAGCAAAUAAUAUAAUACAGUGGUGAUAAAGCAAGUGAGCUGAAACGUGCACACAGCGUGGCUCGAAUUAAUGACAACACUGUUGACAACAAAAACAAAAGUGGAAUUGAGCUGUGCGCUACAAAGUGCAUGGCGUAUAAGCCGGCUCCAGUAUUAGCAUCAUUUUAUGACGCGUUUAAUUGAAAUUUAUACUUUAGUAGGUAAACAAAUACACAUGGCGAAGGAUGUGUUCGCGAAAACCAAAGUGAUAAGCAGAGGUAUAUGCCGACGUCGCGUGUUCCUGCCAUUCAACAGCUACUAUACUACAUACAAGUGCGGUUGGGCCAUUUUAUAACUUGCUUGAAUGGAUCGGGUGGGUCUUGACGUUUCGCAAUUGGAACGACUGGAAUGGCCGGAUUGAAAUUCUACCAAAAAUAUAUGUGAACGGAGGGAUUUGUUGCCGUUGUUGUUGAAAAUGUAAAACAAUGAAAAUUUAAUAAAAUGCAAAAUUUAAAUGUAUUUGAUGAAAUGUUUUGUAAUGUGAUGCAUCAUAUUAUUAAUUUUCUAUUGAAAAUUAUUAAAAACCUU